GGUGGAUUAUGUGGAUUAAUUCGAUGCAACGCGAAAACCCUACCUACCCUUGACAUGCUAGGAACUUGCCAGAGAUGGCUUGGUGCCCGAAAGGGAACCUAGACACAGGUGCUGCAUGGCUGUCGUCAGCUCGUGUCGUGAGAUGUUGGGUUAAGUCCCGCAACGAGCGCAACCCUUGUCAUUAAUUGCCAUCAUUCAGUUGGGCACUUUAAUGAGACUGCCGGUGACAAACCGGAGGAAGGUGGGAUGACGUCAAGUCAGCAUGGCCUUUAUAUCCUGGGCUACACACACGCUACAAUGGCCAACACAAUAGGUUGCUAAGCCGCGAGGUGGCGCCAAUCCAUAAAGUUGGUCUCAGUUCAGAUUGUAGGCUGCAACCCGCCUGCAUGAAGAUGGAGUUGCUAGUAACCGCAGGUCAGCUAUACUGCGUUGAAUACGUUCCCGGGGCUU
rnacentral:rRNA from 1 species